UACUUUUGCACCUCAAUACAUAAUAAUCAUUUAAAUAAUAUUGGAAUG
rfam:Weeksella virosa DSM 16922, complete genome.